rnacentral:rRNA from 1 species
UACGAAGGGGGCUAGCGUUGUUCGGAAUUACUGGGCGUAAAGCGUAUGCAGGCGGAUCGUUAAGUCGGGGGUGAAAUCCCGAGGCUCAACCUCGGAACUGCCUUCGAUACUGCGGGUCUCGAGUCCGGGAGAGGUGAGUGGAAUUCCUAGUGUAGAGGUGAAAUUCGUAGAUAUUAGGAAGAACACCAGUGGCGAAGGCGGCUCACUGGCCCGGUACUGACGCUGAGGUGCGAAAGCGUGGGGGAGCAAACAGG